UUUAUAUUUAUCCUAUAUAUAGUUGCUUUGUACAUAUUUAUUUUCUUGUUGUCUCUCCCAUUAGACUGAGUUCCUUGAGAGCAAGGCCCCUUUUUGCAUCCUCAGUGUCUUCUCAGAGAAGACAGACAGACUGCUUGAAUGGAGAGACUGAGAACAGAGUGAACAAUGAGGAGUCCAUUUCAAUAAUCCAGAUGCAGUUCAGUAUCAUGGCUAUAGUUCUGGACUUGUAGUCAAGGAGGUUUGGACUGAAACCUGUCUCUGACACUUAUAAGAUUCCUCAUCUGUAAAACGAGUUGGAGAAGAAAUGGAAAACCAACCCAAAUGGGGUCAAAGAGAGAACAUGACUGGAAACAACUGAGCAACAAUAAAAAGUAAGCACUUUUCA
rnacentral:lncRNA from 1 species